rnacentral:rRNA from 1 species
AUUGAACGCUGGCGGCAUGCCUUACACAUGCAAGUCGAACGGCAGCACGGGGCAACCUGGUGGCGAGUGGCGCACGGGUGAGUAAUGCAUCGGAACGUACCUUUCAGUGGGGGAUAACGUAGCGAAAGUUACGCUAAUACCGCAUAUUCUGUGAGCAGGAAAGCAGGGGAUCGCAAGAUCUUGCGCUUAUCGAACGGCCGAGGUUAGAUUAGAUAGGUGGUGAGGUAAAGGAUCACCAAGGCGACGAUCUGCAGCGGGUCUGAGAGGAUAAUCCGACACACUGGACCUGAGACACGGUCCAGACUCCUACGGGAGGCAGCAGUGGGGAAUGUUGGACAGGGGGGGCGACCCUGAUCUAGCCAAGCCACGUGGGUGAAGAAGUGAUUCUGGUUGUAAAUCUCUUCCGGCCGGGAACAAAUCGAACGGGCUAAUACCCUGUGUGGAUGACGGUACCGGAAUAAGAAGCACCGGCUAACUACGUGCCAGCAGCCGCGGUAAGAC